GCAGCAUAGAGAGCUUGCUCUCUGAUGGCGAGUGGCGAACGGGUGAGUAAUACAUCGGAACGUGUCCGUUUGUGGGGGACAACCACCCGAAAGGGUGGCUAAUACCGCAUAAGACCUGAGGGUGAAAGCCGGGGACCGCAAGGCCUGGCGCGAACGGAGCGGCCGAUGACUGAUUAGCUGGUUGGCGGGGUAAAGGCCCACCAAGGCGACGAUCAGUAGCUGGUCUGAGAGGACGACCAGCCACACUGGAACUGAGACACGGUCCAGACUCCUACGGGAGGCAGCAGUGGGGAAUUUUGGACAAUGGGGGCAACCCUGAUCCAGCCAUGCCGCGUGCGGGAAGAAGGCCUUCGGGUUGUAAACCGCUUUUGUCAGGGACGAAAAGGUGCGGGUUAAGAGCUAGCACUGAUGACGGUACCUGAAGAAUAAGCACCGGCUAACUACGUGCCAGCAGCCGCGGUAAUACGUAGGGUGCGAGCGUUAAUCGGAAUUACUGGGCGUAAAGCGUGCGCAGGCGGUUGGGUAAGACAGAUGUGAAAUCCCCGGGCUUAACCUGGGAACUGCAUUUGUGACUGUCCGACUGGAGUAUGUCAGAGGGGGGUGGAAUUCCAAGUGUAGCAGUGAAAUGCGUAGAUAUUUGGAAGAACACCGAUGGCGAAGG
rnacentral:rRNA from 1 species